rnacentral:lncRNA from 1 species
UUGCCCAUAAUGCACAGUAAAAAAUCCUACACUGGGAUGGCAAGUUCUGCGAAAAUACCCAGGUUAGCCACUGUAAAAACCCCAAAUGAGUUUCUUGCAAAAUUAACUAGCAUGAUAACUCUCUCCAAACUAAAACUGAAACAGGACAUUCACGGAAGAGAUGGUCCAUAUUCUCUGUUCCUAUUCCACACCGGGGACAUAUUGUAGUGUUCGUUACCUCUCUUUGUAGCAUGUUAACUCGUAUAUGUAGAUAAUUCCACGAUAUUUUCCAGAUUGUAAUUUUUAUUUUUGAAGGUAGAUUCAGUAGCCAUAGUUUUUUUUUUUUUUGUAAAAUUCCUUAUAGUCGGCUUGUAAAGCGUAAGCUCUAGUGUCACGGACUUAGAGUUUUUCCACACGAUUCGUGUGGCCUUUGGCAGUUUCUUUGCUUAAAAACGCCUAAGUCAGCCUAACUCGCAAUGAUAAAGGAUUCAACAGCAAAAACGCCUAAGUUGGCCUAACUUGCAAAGAUAAAUGAUUCAACAGAAUUCCCUCAAGGCACCCACGAAGAACAGCAGAAGAACGAAGUAAGAACGAACGUUGAAAGAUGAACGAAAGCCAUAGAAAAGCAAGAACACUUGAGAGAAAAGUUUGAGUGAAUAUUCUCAAAAUUCUUACUGAUAAAUUAAUGAAUUACAAUGAGCAAAGAGGUCUUUAUUUAUAGUUUAGCUUCAAAGUACAUCAAAGGCUACAAUUAAAAGUUGUAUACAAUUAGAACUCUAAGACACAAUUAGAAGCUGCAUAUAAUUAGAACUCUAAAAUUACAUAAUCAUAUCUUCUUGGAUUACUUCCCCUUUUUAUUAGGCUCUUGGGAUGGGCUUUUAAUCUCUCCAGGCAACGGGCCAGUUUGGUUGGGCCAAAUGACCUCCUUCAAAUACAAUGGAUCGCACAAGUUUGUCAUGGUUGCGUGCUCCCAUGCGCAACCCAUGACACUAGGAUCGUCUUCAAUGCUUUGUAAUAGUUUAUGGGCACUGUGUACUGUGAAUUCAUCCGACACUUCACCACUCUAGGCUUGAAAGUCUUCGUGAGGUUCUUCUACCAACAGAAUACGGAUAAUCUUCUCGGCUACUUCCUCC